CCUACGGGUGGCAGCAGUGGGGAAUAUUGCGCAAUGGGCGAAAGCCUGACGCAGCGACGCCGCGUGAGGGAUGAAGGCCUUCGGAUCGUAAACCUCUGUUAGCAGGGAAGAACGGUCACUGUGCUAAUCAGCAGUGAAUUGACGGUACCUGCAAAGGAAGCCCCGGCUAACUCCGUGCCAGCAGCCGCGGUAAUACGGAGGGUGCGAGCGUUGAUCGGAAAUAUUGGGCGUAAAGCGGGCGUAGGCGGGAGGUCAAGUCAAGGGUGAAAUCCCCGCGCUCAACGUGGGAACAGCCUGUGAAACUGGAGAACUGGAGUGUGUGAGAGGAUAGUGGAAUUCCAGGUGUAGGGGUGAAAUCCGUAGAUAUCGGGAGGAACACCAGUGGCGAAGGCGACUAUCUGGCACGUAACUGACGCUGAGGAGCGAAAGCGUGGGUAGCGAACAGGAUUAGAUACCCGUGUAGUC
rnacentral:rRNA from 1 species